ensembl:lncRNA
AAUUUCAAGCUAUGCCUCCAACCCUGGGAUACUCUUCUCCACUUUCUCAUACCUUCUUAAUCUUCCACCUCCUUCCCCUCUCUCCUCCUUCUCUGCAGAUAAUUUUGUUAACCUCUUUGGAAAAAAAGGUUGAUGACAUCCACUCUUUCACUCAGGCUACUGAGUCUACUGGUCCCACUCACACAGAACUACCCUAUGCCUUGACCUCUUUCUCCCCUCUCUCUCCAGGUGAAAUCCUGCGACUAGUGAUGUCCGGCCACCCGACAACCUGCCCACUCGACCCCAUCCCCUCUUCCCUUCUCCAGACUAUUUCUACAGACCUUCUCUCAUUCCUCACUUCCAUCAUCAACUCAUCCCUGACUACUGGCUGCAUCCCCUCUGACUUCAAAAUGGCCGCUCCCCUCCGCAAGAAACCAACACUUGACCCCUCUGCCGUCAAAAACUACAGACUGGUUGCAACACACAUCUCUGGCAGACAUCUCAGCUCAUCAGCUCAAGCUCAACUUCGACAAAACAGAGCUAUUCUUUCUCCCGGGAAAGGCCUGUUCUCUCCAAGACCUCUCCAUCACAGUCACAACUCCAGUGUCCCCCUCCCAGAGUGAUUUUGGCGUGACCGUGAACAACACCCUGCC